rnacentral:rRNA from 1 species
UACGGAGGGUGCAAGCGUUAUCCGGAUUCACUGGGUUUAAAGGGAGCGCAGGCGGGCAUGUAAGUCCGUGGUGAAAUACCUCAGCUUAACUGAGGAACUGCCAUGGAUACUAUAUGUCUUGAAUGUUGUGGAGGUUUGCGGAAUAGGUCAUGUAGCGGUGAAAUGCAUAGAUAUGACCUAGAACACCAAUUGCGAAGGCAGCAGGCUACACAAAUAUUGACGCUGAGGCUCGAAAGCGUGGGGAUCAAACAGG